GAGGGCAUAGCUCAGUGGUAGAGUGCAUGCCCAGCAUGCAUGGAGUCCUGGGUUCUAUCCCCAGUACCUCCA
rnacentral:tRNA from 1 species